UACGAAGGUGGCAAGCGUUGUUCGGAAUUACUGGGCGUAAAGGGCUCGUAGGCGGCCAACUAAGUCAGACGUGAAAUCCCUCAGCUUAACUGGGGAACUGCGUCUGAUACUGGAUGGCUUGGAUUUGGGAGAGGGAUGCGGAAUUCCAGGUGUAGCGGUGAAAUGCGUAGAUAUCUGGAGGAACACCGGUGGCGAAGGCGGCAUCCUGGACCAAUAUUGACGCUGAGGAGCGAAAGCCAGGGGAGCAAACGGG
rnacentral:rRNA from 1 species